rnacentral:lncRNA from 1 species
UGGGUGAGGUCACUGUAGCAUUGUCAUCGCUCUGGGUUCCACCCACACUCAGGGUGAGAGGGAGAUUCUGAAGCUUUGUGUUUCUUGCUAGCUAGUCAAAGGUGACUAAUUCAUGUGGAUAGAAAAAUAAUACAUGCCAAAAGAAAUUUGAGGAACAAAUUCAGCCCUGAGACAGGUCACGGAAACAGCCCUCCAGUCUUCCUCAAGAAAUGUAGACUGAAUCAGCAUUUACCCACCCCUGGAAAAACGCAGGAGCUGCGCAUUCCUGGGAUCUCAGCAGGGCUUUUGGGAAGAGCAGAACUGGGCUGGAGUCACGGUUUCUGGGCUGACUCUAGAUUUUCCCCGGCUUUUGCCACCUGUGAUGGCUGGAGAGUAUCUGAAGAUGACAGACCCCCUACUCCCAGUGACACAAGAUGGUUGGACCCACGGCUGAUUUACUGCUUUACUCCCAUUCUUUAUGGGGCCAGCUUUAAUGAGCACCCAAGCAGAAAUGCCUUUGACUCCUGCACUGUGAAUAACUGUUAUUAAUAAAAGGGCAAGCUGCUUGCCAUGGAACCUUG